rnacentral:lncRNA from 1 species
AGAGAUCACACAACCAUUGUUUUCACUCGCAAAUGAAUAACCAUCCUUCAUCAAGCAUGAAGGAGACAAAAUGUUUCGACUUAAACUAGGAACGAAAUAACAAUUAUUCAACUCCAUAAUAAAUCCUGACGGGAGGUCGAGUUGCAUCAUCCCGACGGUCAACGCAGCAACUCUUGCAUUAUUGCCCACGUGGAAAUCAACUUCUCCUCUUUCAAAGCUUCUACUUCUUAUCAUUCCC